rnacentral:rRNA from 1 species
GAUGAACGCUGGCGGCGUGCCUAAUACAUGCAAGUCGAGCGAACGGACGAGAAGCUUGCUUCUCUGAUGUUAGCGGCGGACGGGUGAGUAACACGUGGAUAACCUACCUAUAAGACUGGGAUAACUUCGGGAAACCGGAGCUAAUACCGGAUAAUAUUUUGAACCGCAUGGUUCAAAAGUGAAAGACGGUCUUGCUGUCACUUAUAGAUGGAUCCGCGCUGCAUUAGCUAGUUGGUAAGGUAACGGCUUACCAAGGCAACGAUGCAUAGCCGACCUGAGAGGAGGAUCAGCAACACGGGAACUGAGACACGGUCAAGACUCCUAAGGGAGGAAGAAGUGGGGAAUCUUCGGAAAGGGGCGAAAGCCUGAGGGAGCAAGGCCGCGGGAGUGAAGAAGGUCUUCGGAUCGAAAACCUUUUUAAGGGGGGAGGAAAAGAAGUAAAAGAAUAUGUGCAAAUCUUGAAGGUACAAAAAAAAAAAGCCACGGAUAACUACGUG